AGAGUUUGAUCAUGGCUCAGGACGAACGCUGGCGGCGCGCUUAACACAUGCAAGUCGAGCGAGAACCAGAUCUUCGGGUCUGGGGAAAGCGGCGAACGGGUGAGUAACACGUGAGUAAUCCACCCUCGGCACCGGGAUAGCCCGGGGAAACUCGGAUUAAUACCGGAUGGCCCAACAGCUCUUCGGGGCGGUUGGAAAAGGUAGCUUAGGCCUCUGGCCGAGGACGAGCUCGCGGCGGAUUAGCUUGUUGGUGGGGUAAUGGCCCACCAAGGCGACGAUCCGUAGCUGGUCUGAGAGGACGAUCAGCCACACUGGGACUGAGACACGGCCCAGACUCCUACGGGAGGCAGCAGUGGGGAAUCUUGCACAAUGGGCGAAAGCCUGAUGCAGCGACGCCGCGUGAGGGAAGAAGGCUUUCGGGUUGUAAACCUCUUUCAGGAGGGACGAAGCUACUCGGGUUAAUAGCCCAGAGGGUGACGGUACCUCCAGAAGAAGCCCCGGCUAACUACGUGCCAGCAGCCGCGGUAAUACGUAGGGGGCAAGCGUUGUCCGGAUUUAUUGGGCGUAAAGAGCGUGUAGGCGGCCAGAUAGGUCCGUUGUGAAAACUCGAGGCUCAACCUCGAGACGCCGAUGGAAACCAUUUGGCUAGAGUCCGGAAGAGGAGAGUGGAAUUCCUGGUGUAGCGGUGAAAUGCGCAGAUAUCAGGAAGAACACCCGUGGCUAAGGCGGCUCUCUAGUACGGUACUGACGCUGAGACGCGAAAGCGUGGGGAGCGAACAGGAUUAGAUACCCUGGUAGUCCACGCCGUAAACGAUGGGUGCUAGGUGUGGGGGGUGUCGACUCCCUCCGUGCCGAAGCUAACGCAUUAAGCACCCCGCCUGGGGAGUACGGCCGCAAGGCUAAAACUCAAGGAAUUGACGGGGGCCCGCACAAGCAGCGGAGCAUGGUGGUUUAAUUCGACGCAACGGCGAAGAACCC
rnacentral:rRNA from 1 species